UACGGAGGGUGCAAGCGUUAUCCGGAUUCACUGGGUUUAAAGGGUGCGUAGGUGGGCAAGUAAGUCAGUGGUGAAAUCUCCGGGCUUAACCUGGAAACUGCCAUUGAUACUGUUUGUCUUGAAUACUGUGGAGGUCAGCGGAAUAUGUCAUGUAGCGGUGAAAUGCUUAGAUAUGACAUAGAACACCAAUUGCGAAGGCAGCUGGCUACACAAAUAUUGACACUGAGGCACGAAAGCGUGGGGAUCAAACAGG
rnacentral:rRNA from 1 species